GCCAGCAGCCAUAUCACCCUGCAAAUCACAACUGGCAGCCCUCUGAAGCUCAGCAGGUGUGAGCCUGGUCAGUACCUGGAUGGGAGACUACUGGGAAAAACUAUGGUUGCUGAUGGAA
rnacentral:rRNA from 1 species